AGCGCCCUUCGGGUGACCGGCGGAGUAGGUAGUAACGCGUGGGAACGUGCCCUUCUCUACGGAAUAGCCUCUGGAAACGGAGAGUAAUACCUGUAUACGCCCUUAUGGGGGAAAGAUUUAUCAGGAGAACUGAUCAGGCCCAGCGAUUAAGAAUUAGUGUAAGUUAGGUAGGGUGAUAACGGCCAUACCAAAGCACUACGAAUCUAUUAGCUAGGUUUUAGAAGGAUGAUCAGAAACAACUGGAGACUGAGACACGGCCCAGACUACUACGGGAGUGCAGCAGAUGGAGAAUAUUAGACAAUGGGGGCAACCCUGAUCUAGCCAUGCCGAGUUGAGUAGAUGAAGAGCCUUAGUGGUCAUAAAAGCUCUUUACGACCUGAUGAAUUGAAUCAAUGGACCAGUCAGCAGGUAAAAGAAAACCCCAGAAUUAACUACCGGUGACCACGCAAGCCGAGUGAUAAUACGGGAGG
rnacentral:rRNA from 1 species